CAACCCAAGUCGUACGGUAUUUACUCUUUAACGCCAACAGCUUUCUAUCUCCCCUCCUUUUGCUCUACCUGCCUUUCACAAUUUCGAAACUUCAACCCUUUAGCUUUCUAACGCCAACCUCUAUCUCUUCAAAAGACAGUUUCAAAACUUCUGACUUUCAAGUUUCUACCGCCAACCUCUAUCUCUUCCAAAGACAGUUUUAAAAAUUCAGACUUUCAGCUUUCUAACGCCAACCUCUUUCUCUUCUCUCCAUCUCUUACUCAGUGGCUUAGGCUCCAGGAAAAAAAUAUGCAGGAAAUAUCAUCGACUUGACAGCCCUAAAAUCCCAAUGUAAAUACCACAGACUACCUCUGGUAGUCAUCCAACAGCAUUCAACAGCCCCAAAAUCCCAGUAUAAAUACCCACAGAAAGCCUCUGGUAGUCUUCUAACAUCAUUGUUUCAAUUGUUUAUUAAUGGAUUGCCUACAAUGUGUUUGAUUAUAGUUGUCAAUAACAUUCACACUGCUCUGUUUCAAAAAAAAAAAAAAAAAAAAAAAAAAAAAACCACUUGAAGCAACCAAGGUUCAGAAGAUGGGAAACUUCAAGUCUUGAAGGAUUGGGCUUUCAAGUUAAUCGAAGGUGAUUCAAGUGGGAGGAAUUGGUGGAUGAAGGUUUAAAGAAAAGAUAUAAGAUUCUAGAAGGAGAAUGCUUGGAUCAAGAUUGUCAUAGCAUUGAGCAACUGUGAUAGUUAUUGCUAUUGGCUUAUGUGUAAAUUAAAUGCCUAAAAUAGAGAUAGAUGUGACAACAGUGUUUAUUGAAAUUCUUGAUAAUGUCUGAUUUGCAAAAUAAAUUAGAGCAAAAAGUGGAUUUGUGUA